UCUCUACAACACUACCUACGAGGUCCUACCUUUGCUCAUGUGGACCCCUAGCCUUGGUGGGUCCUAUCACUGCGUCACCCAAACACGCCCAAUCUUUCAAACCAGAGGGAGAGCUGAAGGACGAAGUGGAGGGAGCCGGGUGGAGGACGGAAGGUGGAGUGUUCCAGGCUUGGGACCAGCACACUCAAAGGCCCGGCAGAGAGUGCACCAGCACUGCAGCUGCGCUCUGGGCAGCCAGAGUUCUCGGGGAGUGUCCAGAAGAGAUGGGGGAACAGUACCCCCACCAGCCUGGGAGCUCCUGGAGAGUAGAAGCCCACCUGCGUUCCGGGCGAAACCCGGAGAGGGUCUCAAUAAGCAUGUGUUGGAUCCAUGAGUAAACACACCAGAAGGCCCAGAGAGAUCAAGUCCAAACUCCUCACGUCAGCUGAGCUGUGAGUCAGGACCCCUCACUGCGCCAAGACUCACCUCUGACCCUGACCUUACUUCUUUCUGCCUCUUCACUGUCUCCCCAGCCUCCUUCCUGACUGGAGCCUGACCUCUUCGACCCUCCCUGUGGGCUUCCCUCCGGGCUUCCCUCUUGAUGGGGAUGUUAAUUCCCAAUCCCCUCCUCAAACAACCACUUGGUCCCUCCCACUCUCCCAAAAGCAGGAAGUAGUCAGAAGCCUCAGCAGUCACACGAGGUGUUGAUCAACACUGGUGCUGACGCGGUUGUUGACAUCCACAUCCGGAGGCGAACCCCACCCACUGGGCCCAAGGCUGUAGGGUCAGGAGGUCAGGGGACCUUUCCCACAGGUGUCCUCAGCAGGGCUCCGGGCCCCUACCAGUCUUCCGUGGCCAGGGUCAUGGCCCCAAGUCUAUCACUGCCCUGGCCUGGUCCUACCCGAACCCCCUAGUUCCUCGGCUCCACUCCCUCCUCACCCUCUCCUUAGUCCCUCCACCACGCUCCUCGAAAUCAAGGCCCAAACUCAAUGUGCUUAUUCUGGCAUUCUCCAGACAAGUGACAUCCCUCUCCCCGGCCUCAGCUUCUCCUCUGGUUUAGUGGCCACAAGGAACCCCUUCCUGCCCAGGUUCUUGCUCUGGAGGCGAUCAGACGGGUCCUUCUGACGCCUGAAAAGGGCCGGAUUUCCAUGGCCUUAACACGCCUAGUACCUGGUCCCUCGGCCAGACCCUUUCUCCGGGAGCCUCAGGUCGCUGCGGCCCU